CAAGGAAUAGUCUAGCUAGGAUCCUAGCUUUGGGAGCUAGGGGUAGGGGUUAAAAUCCCUUUUCUUUGA
rnacentral:tRNA from 1 species